GACGAACGCUGGCGGCGUGCUUAACACAUGCAAGUCGAACGGAAAGGCCCUGCUUUUGUGGGUUUCUCGAGUGGCGAACGGGUGAGUAACACGUGAGUAACCUGCCCUUGACUUUGGGAUAACUUCAGGAAACUGGGGCUCAUACCGGAUAGGAGCUCCUGCUGCAUGGUGGGGGUUGGAAAGUUUCGGCGGUUGGGGAUGGACUCGCGGCUUAUCAGCUUGUUGGUGGGGUAGUGGCUUACCAAGGCUUUGACGGGUAGCCGGCCUGAGAGGGUGACCGGCCACAUUGGGACUGAGAUACGGACCAGACUCCUACGGGAGGCAGCAGUGGGGAAUAUUGCACAAUGGGCGGAAGCCUGAUGCAGAAACGCCGCGUGCGGGAUGACGGCCUUCGGGUUGUAAACCGCUGUCGACUGUGACGAAGCGUGAGUGACGGUAAUGGGUAAAGAAGCAACGGCUAACUACGUG
rnacentral:rRNA from 1 species